UACGGGGGGUGCGAGCGUUGUCCGGAAUCACUGGGCGUAAAGGGCGCGUAGGUGGUUUGAUAAGGGUGUGGUGAAAGUCCGGGGCUCAACCCCGGAUCUGCCGUGCCGACUGUCAAACUCGAGGGCUGUAGAGGCAGACGGAAUUCCGGGUGUAGCGGUGGAAUGCGUAGAGAUCCGGAGGAAGACCGGUGGCGAAGGCGGUCUGCUGGGCAGUUUCUGACACUGAUGCGCGAAAGCGUGGGGAGCGAUCCGG
rnacentral:rRNA from 1 species